rnacentral:rRNA from 1 species
CUACGGGUGGCUCCAGUGAGGAAUAUUGCACAAUGGGGGGAACCCUGAUGCAGCAACGCCGCGUGGAGGAUGACGCAUUUCGGUGUGUAAACUCCUUUUAUAUGUCAAGAAAAUGACGGUAGCAUAUGAAUAAGCACCGGCUAACUCCGUGCCAGCAGCCGCGGUAAUACGGAGGGUGCAAGCGUUACUCGGAAUCACUGGGCGUAAAGGACGCGUAGGCGGGUUGGAAAGUCAGGUGUGAAAUCCUACAGCUUAACUGUAGAACUGCACUUGAAACUUCUAAUCUAGAGUAUGGGAGGGGGAGAUGGAAUUAGUGGUGUAGGGGUAAAAUCCGUAGAUAUCACUAGGAAUACCUAAAGCGAAGGCGAUCUCCUGGAACAUUACUGACGCUAAGGCGUGAAAGCGUGGGGAGCAAACAGGAUUAGAUACUGGUAGUC